AAACAGUAAGCAAAGGAUGCGCGGGCCUGCCAUGCAGAUUCCCGCGCCCCGAUCCGCUUCGGAUCAGACGGAUUCGACC
rnacentral:sRNA from 1 species